rnacentral:rRNA from 1 species
CAGUCGCCGCGGUAAUACGAAGGGUGCAAGCGUUAAUCGGAAUUAUUGGGCGUAAAGGGCUCGCAGGCGGUUUCUUAAGUCUGAUGUGAAAGCCCCCGGCUCAACCGGGGAGGGUCAUUGGAAACUGGGAAACUUGAGUGCAGAAGAGGAGAGUGGAAUUCCACGUGUAGCGGUGAAAUGCGUAGAGAUGUGGAGGAACACCAGUGGCGAAGGCGACUCUCUGGUCUGUAACUGACGCUGAGGAGCGAAAGCGUGGGGAGCGAACAGGAUUAGAUACCCCUGUAGUCCCUGUCUCUUAUAA